UGCCCCAUGGCUGAGUUGGUUACAGCGUCCGACUGUUAUCGUACUGAUUACUAUCGGAAGGUCGAGAGUUCGAGCCUCUCUGGGGCAG
rfam:Gymnopus luxurians FD-317 M1 unplaced genomic scaffold GYMLTscaffold_15, whole genome shotgun sequence.